rnacentral:rRNA from 1 species
GGGAGCUUGCUCCCUGAAUGUUAGCGGCGGACGGGUGAGUAACACGUGGGUAACCUGCCUGUAAGACUGGGAUAACUCCGGGAAACCGGGGCUAAUACCGGAUGGUUGUUUGAACCGCAUGGUUCAGACAUAAAAGGUGGCUUCGGCUACCACUUACAGAUGGACCCGCGGCGCAUUAGCUAGUUGGUGAGGUAACGGCUCACCAAGGCGACGAUGCGUAGCCGACCUGAGAGGGUGAUCGGCCACACUGGGACUGAGACACGGCCCAGACUCCUACGGGAGGCAGCAGUAGGGAAUCUUCCGCAAUGGACGAAAGUCUGACGGAGCAACGCCGCGUGAGUGAUGAAGGUUUUCGGAUCGUAAAGCUCUGUUGUUAGGGAAGAACAAGUGCCGUUCAAAUAGGGCGGCACCUUGACGGUACCUAACCAGAAAGCCACGGCUAACUACGUGCCAGCAGCCGCGGUAAUACGUAGGUGGCAAGCGUUGUCCGGAAUUAUUGGGCGUAAAGGGCUCGCAGGCGGUUUCUUAAGUCUGAUGUGAAAGCCCCCGGCUCAACCGGGGAGGGUCAUUGGAAACUGGGGAACUUGAGUGCAGAAGAGGAGAGUGGAAUUCCACGUGUAGCGGUGAAAUGCGUAGAGAUGUGGAGGAACACCAGUGGCGAAGGCGACUCUCUGGUCUGUAACUGACGCUGAGGAGCGAAAGCGUGGGGAGCGAACAGGAUUAGAUACCCUGGUAGUCCACGCCGUAAACGAUGAGUGC